GAUGAAUGCUGGCGGCGUGCUUAACACAUGCAAGUCGAGCGGUAAGGCCCUUCGGGGUACACGAGCGGCGGACGGCUGAGUAACGCGUGGGAACAUGCCCCAAAGUGAGGAAUAAGCUCCAGAAAUGGAGUCUAAUGCCGCAUAUGAUCUUCGGAUUAAAGGAUUUAUCCGCUUUGGGAGUGGCCUGCGUACGAUUAGCU
rnacentral:rRNA from 1 species